rnacentral:rRNA from 1 species
AACGAACGCUGGCGGCAUGCCUAACACAUGCAAGUCGAACGAGACCUUCGGGUCUAGUGGCGCACGGGUGCGUAACGCGUGGGAACCUGCCCUUAGGUUCGGAAUAACUCUCCGAAAGGGGUGCUAAUACCGGAUAAUGUCUUCGGACCAAAGAUUUAUCGCCCUUGGAUGAGCACGCGUUGGAUUAGCCAGUUGGUAGGGUAAAAGCCUACCAAGGCGACGAUCCAUAGCUGGUCUGAGAGGAUGAUCAGCCACUCUGGGGGUGGGACACGGCGCAGACUACUACGGGAGGCAGCAGUGGGGAAUAUUGGACUAUGGGCGAAAGCCUGAACCAGCAAUGCCGCGUGAGUGAUGAAGGCCUUAGGGUUGUAAAGCUCUUUUACCCGGGAUGAUAAUGACAGUACCGGGAGAAUAAGCUCCGGCUAACUCCGUG